AUGAACGCUGACGGCGUGCCUAAUCCAUGCAAGUCGCGCGAACAGACGAGGAGCUUGCUCCUCUGACGUUAGCGGCGGACGGGUGAGUAACACGUGGAUAACCUACCUAUAAGACUGGGAUAACUUCGGGAAACCGGAGCUAAUACCGGAUAAUAUAUUGAACCGCAUGGUUCAAUAGUGAAAGACGGUUUUGCUGUCACUUAUAGAUGGAUCCGCGCCGCAUUAGCUAGUUGGUAAGGUAACGGCUUACCAAGGCGACGAUGCGUAGCCGACCUGAGAGGGUGAUCGGCCACACUGGAACUGAGACACGGUCCAGACUCCUACGGGAGGCAGCAGUAGGGAAUCUUCCGCAAUGGGCGAAAGCCUGACGGAGCAACGCCGCGUGAGUGAUGAAGGUCUUCGGAUCGUAAAACUCUGUUAUUAGGGAAGAACAAAUGUGUAAGUAACUAUGCACGUCUUGACGGUACCUAAUCAGAAAGCCACGGCUAACUACGUG
rnacentral:rRNA from 1 species